UUGGAGGGCAAGUCUGGUGCCAGCAGCCGCGGUAAUUCCAGCUCCAAUAGCGUAUAUUAAAGUUGUUGCAGUUAAAAAGCUCGUAGUUGAAUUUCGGGAUUAGUACGCUGGUCGUGCCUUCGGUACGUACUGGUGUUACUGAUUUCUACUUUCUGACGAACCAUCAUGUCAUUAAUUUGGUGUGGUGGGGAAUCAGGACUGUUACUUUGAAAAAAUUAGAGUGUUUAAAGCAGGCUCGCGCUUGAAUACAUUAGCAUGGAAUAAUGAAAUAGGACGUUGAUCCUAUUUUGUUGGUUUCUAGGAUUGACGUAGUGAUUAAUAGGGAUAGUUGGGGGCAUUAGUAUUCAAUUGUCAGAGGUGAAAUUCUUGGAUUUAUUGAAGACUAACUACUGCGAAAGCAUUUGCCAAGGAUGUUUUCAUUAAUCAAGAACGAAAGUUAGGGGAUCGAAGACGAUCAGAUACCGUCGUAGUCUUAACCAUAAACUAUGCCGACUAGGGAUCGGAUGAUGUUAUUUUUAAUGACUCAUUCGGCGCCUUACGGGAAAC
rnacentral:rRNA from 1 species